rnacentral:rRNA from 1 species
CUCCUACGGGAGGCAGCAGUGGGGAAUCUUGGACAAUGGGGGCAACCCUGAUCCAGCCAUGCCGCGUGAGUGAAGAAGGCCCUAGGGUCGUAAAACUCUUUCGCCUGUGAUGAUAAUGACAGUAGCAGGUAAAGAAACCCCGGCUAACUCCGUGCCAGCAGCCGCGGUAAU